GAAACACCCGAAAUAAAUUUUCUUAUUCCAUGUCAAAAGGCUGCAAUUUGAAGUUCAUAACAUGCAUUUGAUGAAGACUCUCCCUAGUCCUGAAUUCCUGAUAGAAUCAGAUCUUAAACAAUCACCAAAUUCUUAUCCAUUCCCCAAAAAUAUGUAAAAAUAUCAAACUCUGCUUAAUUACUUCACUGAAACCAAAACCCCAUAAUAUAAAGCAUCAGAAUUUUGAGAAAACAGCUAAGCAAAGCACAGUCUGAACUAGUGGAUAGCAACCACAGGCAAAAGCCUACCCCCUCUAGAAGAUCAGUGUGCGCUACAGGACUAGUGUGGGUAUGCAGCCUAACCUUGUAUGUAUUGGCAUAUGUGACACAAUAUUUUCUAACAAUCAGUAGGACUAUUUGGGUCAUUAUCACUAGGGAAAUGGUAGGGACAUAAGCGACUGGUCUUCAGCAGAUUCCUUUGUGAAUAUCAUUUGUGUAUAUGAACAGACAAUUGGUCAUCUGUUAGUCCAGAGUGUGGAGUUAUUCUAAUUCAUGGACUGCUUUUCCGAAGAUUUCUUCAUUUAUAUCAACAGGACAUGAUAUGGACAUUUUAGGUCGUGUGAUGGAUCUUGUCUUUUGAUAAUCAGCAAUAGUUGUGGAAAUUAAGUGCGAAAGUUUUUUUCCUUUCAAGUGUGGAAAGAUAUGAUAAUGUGUCCAAGAGAGAGAUUGAUCAAAAAAGCAUUGGAUCCAUCCGAUCUGCUUGCAUGCGUAUCCAUGGUAGCUUGAAAGCUUACUUUCCUAUCAUUUUUAAGUAAUGCAAGCUCAUUUUUGUAUUAUUUUAAUUAAUACAUUCUGAAAUUGCAUCUAUGAUUUCAAGAGGGUGCCAAAUAUAAUUUAGUGUUUUUCUUCUUUUCGAAUGGCAGUACAACAGCAAAAGAAGGAUUUGUGGGUUCUUUCGGUCUUCUUACCUAGGUCUUCUCUUAUGUUUAGGAAUUCCUGUUGAAGGGUGUUGAACGACACAGCUGCUGCUUAAGCAUAAAUCCACAGCCUUGCAUUGGAAAGAGAUACGGCCUUGCAUUGGAAGAAGAUACAUCAUGUCAACAGGGCAAGGCAUCGCAAUUUUAAGCUUGGUAUGAUGGGUCGUCUCGACCUUAAAAAGACUUCAUAAGUCUUGUGUUUGGUUCUUCUUGACGAUGAGCCACCUUAGCAUCGAUUUGCAUGCUCACGGCUGCACACAGUACACACCAAGGUUUCCUUUCAAAAAAGAAGGGUUCUUAGAAAAAAAGAAGAA